GGCUUCUCCCUCCCCUGCCCUUGGCCCUGCUCUUCCUUCUCCCAUGCUUCUCCAGCUGUUUCUUAAGCUUUGCAGAUUGCUCCAUGGCAGGCCCUUGUUUUGUGCUGAUGAUCGCCUCUGCUGGUCUGGCUCCCUGACUGCUCAGUUGUGUUAAAAAUCACUGUGAGGAGUCUUUCCACAUCUCCCAAGUGUGAAAGAAACCUACACUCACAGAUGCAAUUCGUUGGCUGGGCUUUGUUGAGGAUGGAUGGCCAAGUUCCACAACAAUGUGGCCGUUUGUCCAUCAAAAAUCUGAAUCUAGAAGAUGGAAGUGACUGGCAACCAGGCCCUGCCUCCUUUGAUCCUGAGAUUUUGGGGGGCAUUUUUCUUUAAAUGUGCUUCUAUCUUUGAUCUUAUUCAGUUCUCCUGACCCAAAGGUGACUGAUUUCCCCAGGGCAUCAGGACAGAGUAGAGAGGUAGGAUACAGAUAUGGACUUUUUUGCUGCACACUCUGCCAAGAUACAUUCUCG
rnacentral:lncRNA from 1 species